CCUCUUGCACUGAAAUGCAGUGCCUUAAAGACCACUGUGCCACUCGGAAACCCCCUCCAAAAAAUAUAUAUAUUUAUCAUCCUCAGUGAUGCCAUCGAUGCCACAUCAUUGGAAAGAGUGACCAAAUUGUUUAAAAAAAAAGAUAGAACGUUACUUUGCUAGCACUCUACUCGUUCCGUGAUGACGUCACAGUGGUGAUGUCAACAUGUCUAUUAGAAUGUUCUGUCAUUGCACUGAACAGACACGAGGUCAAUGCUCUGUUUAAGAUGCCGAUAGAAUGAUCCUUUUGAUUAAAUGUUUUGAGACAUUUUUUUUUAGGUUGUUUAGAAACUGACAUUACAUGAAAGGCACAUUUUACUACGUUUCCAUUACGGUUUUUAUGUGUGUAAAGUCAUACUGUAUGAACCAAAAAAAGAAUGACAGCUGUUUAGUUUUUGAUACAAUUUUAUAAAUGCCGACAGAUAAUUUGUGCGUCGACAUGAUGGGAUCUUUUUGUGUCGGUCAAAUUAUUUAUGCGAGAAAUGGUGCUGGAAACGCCUUUAUGUGCAAAUAUUGAUAUAAUACCCGUCAUAUCGAAGUAAAUUUGGAGUCACUCACGCGAUGACGUGGUCUGUGGUCCUCCCCCUACGACUCGUCGGGAAAGCAAGCAGUUUAUUAGGCUACAGAUGAAAUCAGUGAUGAUGAAAUUCACAGGGUGGUGAAAGUGCACGGUGAUCUUGAUGCUCCUUUCCAAUAACUGUCGAGGGUCUUAUUCUGGUGACAUGAUCGUCGAUGAUUGAUUGCCUUUUGACAAAUCAAAAUAUUCUCGCUCUUAUCCAUAAUCUCAUAAUGUAUUGUAGACUAACCUACCCAAACUCUAUCUGUGAGCUGCUGGCUAGAGCGCAUGUGCCAAAACCAGACUAGGCACGUUUGCUAUUUAACGCAACAGUUUUUGUGACAAAACUAUCCGUAGUGUUGAAAAUGCAACGGAAACACAUUGAAAAAAUGUGGGAAAAGUACAUUUUGCGUUCACUACGUCAUCACGCACUGAUUUUUAUUCGCAACAAUUCAGUUUGGUGGAAACACCACUGGUGGGAAUAUGCGCAUAUUUUAUUUAUGCUAAUUCUAGAAUAUUAACAUGGAAAUCUGUCCCCAAUUGGAUAGAAACCUAGUUUAUGAUGUGAAUUGUUUCUCUUGGACAAAUCUGUUGGCAAUCAUGUUUGUGUAAAGGUUACCAUUAAACCAUGUCAGUGGUUAUAAUUAAUCAAUACAACCAGUCAAUGAAGAUAACAGUCAUGAAACGAAACAAAAUCUGUAAGUCACUUUAUCUGUUAAAGUAGUGUACCUAGUAACUACAGCCAUGUUUUGGAGGAGGGGUUACACACCUCAAUAUCGGUGGAGGCUGGUGGGAGGAGCUAUAGGAAGACUGGGUCAUUGUCAUGUCUGAAAUGGACCGAUAUCAAACAAUAACAAACAUAUGUAAACCACCUUUGGCUCCAUUUCAAUCCUUUCCAGCCGUUACAACGAGCCCGUCCUCCUAUAGAUCCUCCCACCAGCCUCCACUGCUCAAUAGAGUGGUUUUGCUCGCCCUCCAGUUCCAAAGGCAGAUCUCCUUUUGAAAGGCUUCAAAGCUGAUAUGAAGACGUGAAUAUGUGGUGAACUGUUAUGCUACCAGACGUUAGCAUGUGCUUUGAACUCAGCUACAAAAUAAAGACAGAAAUCAGAUGUUAUGCUACCAGAUGUUAGCAUGUGCUUUGAACUCA